rnacentral:rRNA from 1 species
AUUGAACGCUGGCGGCAGGCCUAACACAUGCAAGUCGAGCGGCAGCGGAAAGUAGCUUGCUACUUUGCCGGCGAGCGGCGGACGGGUGAGUAAUGUCUGGGAAACUGCCUGAUGGAGGGGGAUAACUACUGGAAACGGUAGCUAAUACCGCAUGACCUCGCAAGAGCAAAGUGGGGGACCUUCGGGCCUCACGCCAUCGGAUGUGCCCAGAUGGGAUUAGCUAGUAGGUGGGGUAAUGGCUCACCUAGGCGACGAUCCCUAGCUGGUCUGAGAGGAUGACCAGCCACACUGGAACUGAGACACGGUCCAGACUCCUACGGGAGGCAGCAGUGGGGAAUAUUGCACAAUGGGCGCAAGCCUGAUGCAGCCAUGCCGCGUGUGUGAAGAAGGCCUUCGGGUUGUAAAGCACUUUCAGCGAGGAGGAAGGGGUUGAGUUUAAUACGCUCAAUCAUUGACGUUACUCGCAGAAGAAGCACCGGCUAACUCCGUGCCAGCAGCCGCGGUAAUACGGGAGGGUGCAAGCGUUAAUCGGAAUUACUGGGCGUAAGGCGCACGCAGGCGGUUUUGUUAAAGUCAUAUGUGAAAAUCCCCGCGCUUAACGUGGGGACUGCAUUUGAAAUUGUCUAGCUAGAGUCUUGUAGAGAGGGGUCAAAACCCAGGUGUAGCGGUGAAUUUUAGAGAUUGGGAGCUACAGGGUGUUGACGCGUACCC